CGUGUUUCUAUUCGAGUUCGACCAGAUUUUGCUCGUAAUGGCGCUAUUCUCUUGGUUGUAAUUUGUUGGAAAUUUUCUUCGAUUAAAAGAUUAUUUAAGGUCCACUUCUAUUCUUUCUCUUGUCAACUUAUUUUCCUUAAAUUUAUGUAUGGUUGUUGAAUAAAGUUAUUCUUCUUAUGAAGGGUGUUAUUGUGUCUAAAUGUUUAAUUAGGGGAAGAAUGCACAUCACUAUGUAGAUAUUGUUUUGGAUUUCAUUAAUCAUGCUUAAAUUAAUGCUUAUUAGUUAAUUCAUUUCACAGGAUAUUAUAUUGUUAUGAAAGUAAUGAAAAUGGGCCAUGGGCAUAAUCCACUUUGUUGCUAAUAAUCAGUUUGUUGCUUCAAGUGUUACAAUUAAGUAACAUUCAGAAAACCAACUUCGUUGGCAAUUAAGUUGUUAUUUAUCAGAUUGUUGCUUCAAGAGAAAUUGGUCCAGUGGCAUCAUUAGUGUGGCCUUGGCAAAAUUGUCGUUGCUUUGUUCUUUGAUAAUUAUAUUUUGCCAAAGUAAUUACAAAGUUAUUUCUCCAUUUUUGGCAAAAUCUAUCUUCAUUUUUGGCAAUUGGUUAAUGAAUUUAAAGAGAAAAUUGGGGGUUUUAGCCUACAGUUUCAUAAUAUGAUUUUUUGAGGUUUGAACACCGAUUUGGAGUCGGAUUUGAGUGAAACUAGUAUGGUUGGACUCGUAGUUGAAUGUGUUAUUAGAUUUUGUGAGUUUUAUCAAGUUUUGAGGCAUGGGUCCGGGUGUAUUUUUGGCCGGAUUGGAGAUUUGAUGUAGAUUUAGAUCUUUAUCAUUUGAAAUUGUUUCCUUGGGCUUUAUCUGAUGUAUUUGAGUUGCUUUUGGCUAGUUUUGAGUCGUUUGGAGGUCACUACACGCGUGAUGGCAUUCUUGGAGCAUCGCUUGGCUUGCUCGGUGGUGGAAUUGGCUUGUUUAAGAUAAGUAACUCUUCUAAUGUUAGUGUUGAGGGUAUGAAACCACGAAUUAUAUGUUUUUUGAUUGUUGUUGAGGUGACGCACAUGCUAGGUGAUGGGCGUGUAUACGUGUACCC
rnacentral:lncRNA from 1 species